UGGGGAAUCUUGCACAAUGGGCGAAAGCCUGAUGCAGCGACGCCGCGUGGGGGAUGAAGCAUCUCGGUGUGUAAACCCCUUCGUACCGGCAGAAUGCCUCGCAAGAGGACUGACGGUACGGGUAUAAGAAGCCCCGGCUAACUACGUGCCAGCAGCCGCGGUAAGACGUAGGGGGCCAGCGUUGUUCGGAAUUACUGGGUGUAAAGGGUUCGUAGGCGGUGCGGCAAGUUGGGAGUGAAAUCUCUGGGCUCAACCCAGAGGCUGCUUCCAAAACUGCUGUGCUUGAGUGUGGGAGAGGCGCGUGGAAUUGCAGGUGUAGCGGUGAAAUGCGUAGAUAUCUGCAGGAACACCCGUGGCGAAAGCGGCGCGCUGGACCACUACUGACGCUGAGGAACGAAGCUAGGGGAGCAAACA
rnacentral:rRNA from 1 species